AACUACGUGCCCUGAACUCGUGUGGGGGCAUUUCUGAGGUCACCAGCCAUCCCUGGGGGAAGUGAGUCAGCAAAAGCAAUAGGUCCAACAGUUAUUUAUCCAUUUAUCCAUUAUUUAUCCUGCAUUUUGAGCAGUGAAGACCAAGCCUUCUGCAAUAUGGCCGCUUCUGUAUUGGUUCAUCCAUUUCCAGGGGAAGUGAAACACAAAAUGCCACUCUUUCUUCAGGAGAUCCCUUGUGUGGCUCAGACAGUGAAGAUGCAGAACAACCAGGUGGAGAUCACACAUCCUCCCCAAUUCCUUCAACUAUGACACAUGAAUCUGGACAGCAUUUAGGAUGAACUCUGAGACACAGUUCAGG